GGGCAAGGAAGAAAUUAAAAAGAACAGGAGGAGGACUUUCUUCUAGUCAAUGAGAGAAACCUUGAGCAUUUUUCAUUUAUUACUCUACAGAUAGUAAUAGAUAGCUCUAGGUUUCAUACUGCAAUGGCUCAUGAUCCAAGUAUACUGUAUCACUGUAUUCAAUAUCUUUCUGUGAACAGACUUAAGACAUCUUUUAAUGCUGUUUCUUCAUGGGUGAGUAAGAGAAGAGCAGAAGUGUGCCAGUGGGAAACACUCAUGUUCAUGUUUCCUGUGGAGAUAAUGAGAAUCAGGGAGUCAAACUAAACCAGCAGGGGAGAGAAUAGGUCAUCAUAAAUUCUUCUUGAGGAUACUCUCCAGUUUUUCUGUGGAAAUGACACCACCAUAUUCCAACCAAUAGAAUGCUAUAUAAAAGUGAAACUACAAAAACAGCUGGACUCUCUUACAGCACAAAUUAAUCCAAGAAGAAAAAAAAAAAAACAAUGAAAAAAGAAACAACAAACCAUAAACAAGAAAAAACACAACAAAGAAACAAACAGCAGCAGCAAAGGCACAGGUAAAUCAUCACUGAACUUGGCCAAGUAUAUUUAAUAAACACUUGGAUGAAAAAUUAAAACUGCCUUGUAUCUUAAUGGGAGACUGUGUUUGGAAGGAUCAAACAUGCAUUAGAGUAAUACAGUCACCAGUAGCUGUCAGUUCAGCCAAAUGACUUAGCUGCAGGAUGCCUUCUGUGCGUCAUAAAGCCUCCUCAAACUGACAAACGUUC